CUGGCACACCCCUCUUUAAUUCCCCUUUUUUGUGAAAAAAUAGCAGCCUUCUUUUUUCCCAUUUUCCCACUCAUUUUUCAAUUUCAAAAACAAGUAAAAAAACCUAACUUCCCUCCAAUUUUCACCAAUCAGCGAGAAGCCGAGAACAGCCAAACAGGACAGCAGUCAGGAACGACGGUAACGACAAUCUGAACUCAGUCAGCAACCAGACAAUGGCGACAAUCAGGAUUAGCAUGACAUUGAUAUUCAUAGCAUGGAUGAGUUGGACCCUUUACGUGCUCGAGGAAAGUCGAAACACAGACUCUCAGAUUGACAGAUAAGCACUAUUAUCAUGUUAAUGUUUUCUACACGAUUAUUGAUAAGCAAAUGAAAGAACUUGAUUGUUGCUUUCCUAAGAUUAGUAAAGAGUUACUUAUUGGAGUUGCUUGUUUGAAUCCUACUAAUUUAUUUUUCAACUACAACAAAGAGAAGGUACUAAAAAUAGCAAAGUUGUAUUCCGAUGAUUUUGAUUAUUUGCCCUUAAAUUGUCUUAGUUUUGAGUUGGAUACUUUUAUUGAUAAUUUUUCUACUGAUAAGCGGGUUUCAAGCUUAUGUACUCUCAGUGAAUUCUCCACAACAUUAGUUCAAUCCGAUUUGUACAAGUCUUGCCCAAACUUUUAUAUGCUUUUGAAGUGGGCGUUGAUUUUGCCAAUAUCCACAACAACAGUAGAAAGAGUGUUCUCAGCAAUGAACAUUAUCAAAACUGAGUUGCGGUACAAGACAUCUGAUUGAUUUUAAAUGAUACUUUUGUAACUUAUUUUGAAUGUGAUUUGUUUCAAAAAAAAUUUCAAACGAUGAUAUUAUGCGCCAUUUUCAGAAUAUGAAAACUCGACGUGGACAAUUGCCUUGAUCAAUUGUUGGUUUAUAUGAUUUUUUAACGCAAUUGAUAUAAUUAUUUUUAAUUAUCGG